rnacentral:tmRNA from 1 species
GACCUGUGGCGAAACCUUAAUUAGCGACUGCGCUCGGAGAAAGUGAAAGUGAAUUGUUUUUGGACGGGGGUUCGACUCCCCCCAUCUCCACCA